rnacentral:lncRNA from 1 species
ACUCCUACGGGAGCCAGACCUCAUCUCUGACUCUGGCCACAGGAAGACUUCAUCCGGACUCCCGCGGAAGUCGGACUUCACCCCCGACGCCAAUUGCAGGUGGACUCUGCCCGAAUUCCCACGGGAGCCGGGCUUCGUCCCCAACUCCGAUUAAGAGAAGACUUCAUCCGGACUCCUACGGGAGCCGGACUCCGAGCUCCUCUCAGACGGGUGGCCAGCCACCUCUCUCCGCC